GUUUUUUUUUCAAAUAAAGAGUCAGAAAUGUUUGGUUAGUGGCUCUUGGAGUGAGCAUCUACAUCUACAUCUGCAGUAGAACCAUAUUUACUUGGUUGACAAUAAAAGAGUGACUGUCAAGUAAAAAGGAUUUAGAGAUAUUAACUACUGACUUACUGCAUACGAGUAACAAUGUAAUUCAGUGAUGCCAAAACUAUGGCCUGCGGGACAUAUCCAUCCCAUGAUGCUGUUCUAUUCAGCUCUAAUAAACUUCUGUCCACAGUGCACAAUGAAGCCUCAGAGAAUUGGAUUGGAAUCGGUAAAUUUUGGCAGUAAUCAGAAAUUUCUUUGACCUCCAGGAUAAACAAAGGUUGGGCACCAUUGACCUAGUUGUUUACUCAUGCGUUGAAGUGUAACAAAGUAAUUCUACUGCAAUAGUCAACAAAGUAGUUUCACAAAAAGAGUCAACAAAGUAAUUCCACU